UACGUAGGUGGCAAGCGUUGUCCGGAUUUACUGGGCGUAAGGAGCGCGCAGGCGGUCGGAUAAGUCGAAUGUGAAAGCCCCCGGCUCAACUGGGGAGGGUCAUUCGAUACUGUUCGACUCGAAGGCAGGAGAGGGAAGUGGAAUUCCCGGUGUAGUGGUGAAAUGCGUAGAUAUCGGGAGGAACACCAGUGGCGAAGGCGACUUCCUGGCCUGUUCUUGACGCUGAGGCGCGAAAGCUAGGGGAGCAAACGGG
rnacentral:rRNA from 1 species